UCGAACGGCAGCACGGACUUCGGUCUGGUGGCGAGUGGCGAACGGGUGAGUAAUAUAUCGGAACAUACCCAGUAGUGGGGGAUAACUAUCCGAAAGGAUAGCUAAUACCGCAUACGAUCUGUGGAUGAAAGCAGGGGAUCUUCGGACCUUGUGCUAUUGGAAUGGCCGAUAUCUGAUUAGCUAGUUGGUAGGGUAAAAGCCUACCAAGGCGACGAUCAGUAGCUGGUCUGAGAGGACGACCAGCCACACUGGAACUGAGACACGGUCCAGACUCCUACGGGAGGCAGCAGUGGGGAAUUUUGGACAAUGGGGGCAACCCUGAUCCAGCAAUGCCGCGUGAGUGAAGAAGGCCCUCGGGUUGUAAAGCUCUUUUGUCAGGGAAGAAACGGAGUUCUCUAAUAUAGGAUUCUAAUGACGGUACCUGAAGAAUAAGCACCGGCUAACUACGUGCCAGCAGCCGCGGUAAUACGUAGGGUGCAAGCGUUAAUCGGAAUUACUGGGCGUAAAGCGUGCGCAGGCGGUUUUGUAAGUCUGAUGUGAAAUCCCCGGGCUCAACCUGGGAACUGCAUUGGAGACUGCAAGGCUAGAGUGUGUCAGAGGGGGGUAGAAUUCCACGUGUAGCAGUGAAAUGCGUAGAGAUGUGGAGGAAUACCGAUGGCGAAGGCAGCCCCCUGGGAUAACACUGACGCUCAUGCACGAAAGCGUGGGGAGCAAACAGGAUUAGAUACCCUGGUAGUCCACGCCCUAAACGAUGUCUACUAGCUGUCGGGACUUAAUUGUCUUGUAACGCAGCUAACGCGUGAAGUAG
rnacentral:rRNA from 1 species